UACGGAAGGCAGCAGUGGGGAAUAUUGCACAAUGGGCGCAAGCCUGAUGCAGCCAUGCCGCGUGUAUGAAGAAGGCCUUCGGGUUGUAAAGUACUUUCAGUCGUGAGGAAGGUGUUAAGGUUAAUAACCUUAGCAAUUGACGUUAGCGACAGAAGAAGCACCGGCUAACUCCGUGCCAGCAGCCGCGGUAAUACGGAGGGUGCGAGCGUUAAUCGGAAUUACUGGGCGUAAAGGGCACGCAGGCGGUUAAUUAAGUUGGAUGUGAAAUCCCCGGGCUUAACCUGGGAAUGACAUUCAAGACUGGUUAGCUAGAGUCUUGUAGAGGGGGUAGAAUUCCAUGUGUAGCGGUGAAAUGCGUAGAGAUGUGGAGGAAUACCGGUGGGCGAAGGCGGCCCCUGGGACAAAGACUGACGCUCAUGUGCGAAAGCGUGGGGAGCAAACAGGGAUUAGAUACC
rnacentral:rRNA from 1 species